CUGUUAGCCAAAAAACCAAAGUGUGGAUACGAUAAAGCUUAUUAAUCAGAGAGUGGAAAUAUUACGGGUUUAUUUUCAGAGGAGAUGAGGAUCUAAGAUGAAGAGGUAUGAGAUUGUCAAAGUACAUCUAUGUGUGUGUGUGUGUUGGACCAGUUUAACAGCCUUUUUAUGCGUCCAGCCGCACGCUGUGACAGUUUGUUUGUGGAGUUGUAAACACGUUGGUGGUAGUGGUGGUGAUGACGGCGGCGGCGGCGUGUUGGUGGUUUGGAAGUGACUCUGUCUCGCUAAAUGACUGCCUGAAGGCACGUCACCUCAAACGCCCUCUGCUGUAUUACUGACUUAUUGUUGGUGUCAUGUUCCUUCAUUCAUCUACAUGUCUCGCUUUUUCUCCGAGCUGUUUUUCCUUUAAACGCACCCCACAAUCCCCUGUUUCAGAGUCAGCAGAUAAAGAAAGACAGAUCGGAAAGUUGUGUAUGAGUCAAAGUGUUUUAAGGAUGUUUUUCGAAGUAACUGUAAGUUGGUAAAAAGGUUUUGUUAAUCUGAAAACCAUUUUAACCAUCUAACAUUGUGGUGUGCAGAAGCUGUUGGUUAUGCAGCAGCAUUAAAGGGAUAUUCCGGUGCAAAAUUGAUUUAAGGUCAAACACACCAUAACACCACUACAGGACUACAGCGGGGUGACGCAGCUCAAGGAAGAAUAUUUACGAUCAUUUCUUCAUGGAAAUGCAAUCAGACCGAGACGCUAAAGCAGAAGAACUACCACGUCUGCAGUGCAAAGUGAUAAUAAUGAUGAUUAGUACUUAAAGGAAAUGAUAAAGAAACCAUCAAAAAUGUUCUUCCUUGAGCUGCGUCACCCCGCUGUAGUCCGUAAUGGACUGGCCUGAGGUUUCGCUACAAAAAAGCGGCUGCUGGAAGAGAGUAGGUGAGUUGUUUUUAGUCUCUUUGCAAAAGAAAUUAGGUAAAGUUAAAAAGAUGUUUGAAUUUUACGGCACUAAAACAGUAUAUGGAUAAAUGGUUGCAAUCAUGGCUCAAGAGCUGCUGGUGCCCGAUUUUCACGAUAAAGUGAGGGUUCAUGCUGGUUUUACUUCUAGGAAUCAUGAAAAUCGUGCACCAGCAGCUUGAAACUGAAUUUUACGGCACUAAAAAAGUAUGUCCAUAAAAAGGUUGGUUGCAAUCACGGCUCAAGGACUGUAGCUGCUCUGACGUACAGUGGUGGACAGUAACGGAGUAAAUUUACUUGAGUACUGUACUUAAGUACAGAUUCUGAGGAUUUGUACUUUACUCAAAUACUAGAAUUCUUUAAUACUUAUUACUCAACCAGGAGUAUUUGUACUCUUACUCAAGUACUGGGGUCAAGUAUUCUGUCCAUGUCUGCUGACGUAUAAUGUCACUAGCUUAACUGAUGGAUUCUGUGCACAUUGCUAGUUUGAGCUAGUUGAUCAAUUUUCACAGCAUUGUGGGCUACUCAUUCAAGGGUCUGUUGAAACUUCUGUAAAAUGGGAUUACAUGUACCAACGGAUGUUUGGAGCAAUACUAAAAAAGUCAUUCAUUCAGACUGCUAUGAUGUGGCAUCUCCUACAAAGAUCUCUGUAUACGUCAGACUAAAAGAUCUAAAUUUAGCUGCAAUUCAAUCUGAAACAAUGUCUGCGUUAGUGUUUUCCAGCGAGCUCUGCCAAAGAACAACUUUCACUUAAGGGAUGGCCACAGGUCCACAGGUCCACAGGUUACGGGGGAGUUUUUAUUCAAAGGGAUCGGUUUUCUCCGGGUCUACGUUUCCUCUCCAGCUUCAAACACUGUCGCUGAAGUAGCAGCGACUCUUGGGUACCCCCAGAUCUUCAGACCUCAUCACCACGCUUCUGCACUUGACCUGCCUGUGUCCUCGGAGAUCAGCAGUCAGUUAAGUGCCCUUCAUAUGUUUUUUUCUGUUGUUGUUUUACCCUGAGAGUAAAGAGGAGCUCGGUUCAGCCUCCUGCUCUGCUACUCCGCUAAUUGGAACCAGGAUCAGUAAAAAUGGGAACUUAAGUAAAACAUGCCAUAAAAUUCUGAAGGCUAACCAUAAACUAACCAAUUUCUUUCAUUCUUUUAAAGGGAACUCUAACUGAAACCUCCACGUAAACUUUUACGAGGAUCCCUGGGGUCACCCGUAAACCCGUUAAUAGAGAUGAGAUAUGAGCGGGGUGCUCGGGCCUCCCAUUUCGUUUGCAUGUCUUUCUCUCCUUUUUUCUGUCCUCCUGUUCCAGUGCAUUCUUGAAAGAGGUCAAAUGCUGUUCGGAGGCUAACACUGCCAAGACUCCGAUUGCCGUUUUUAUCGAGGCGGGGAAAUGAAAAUUCAAUCCACGUGGAUGGAUUUGAGCGGAUAACUGUCGACACGUUUGAGCUGUUGGUCCCCUCGUACACUCUCGCUCUGACUGAGGUGAGUUUGGGGCAAAGGUGUGCAAAGGUGAGGUUCACACUGUUUUAGAGGCCAUCGAGCUGCCGGAGUUUUCUUUCAUGUUCUGCAUGGGAAAAUUCGUGAGCUUUACGUACCAAGUAAUCGACAAACCUAUAGUGGUCGGUGUGUUACGAUCUGUUCUCGCAGCAUAGAUCAGAGGUCCAUCUUUCACAUCCUCAGAAAAUGUAUUAAAAAGAAUAAAAAACACAAAUGAAAACAAAAUAUUGCGAAUAUGUUUGCCUGAUUGAAGGUGAAUUCUUCUCGAAAACGUAGCUUUUGUCUUCGUUUCGGCCUUCAGUCAACACAAAUAUGGAGUGUUUCGCUCGUCACUUCCACAUGGCGAUUUUUGGCAAACUCUUCCUCGUCUGUAUUCGUUCAGAUGGGUAAAAUGACAUUUUGGGGGAGCGUGAUCACCUCAUUUAUUGUUAUUUUUUGUUCAUAUGUACCGCAGAUGCACCAAGAUGUGACUUGUAGGUCAGACUGCAUAUUUACAAGGAAACGUAAUGAUGUUUCGUUAGUAUCCUACAGCGUUGGGUCCAAUAAAUAUAACAUACUCAAUAUUUUCCACCAUUCGUCAGUCUGUUUCACAAAGUUGUUCUCAAUGUGUGGUAGUUAUUGUUGAGGUAAGUCUCCUCGCCAAUAUUAAGUGAAAGAUAAUGUGAUUUUCUUUCCUUGUUACAGCUUCAUCAAAUAUAAUAAACUCAAUAACUUGUGUUCUCGUAGAUUUUUUAAAAUCUCUGUUUGAAGGAAACAUAAGAGGAAGAAACGAGGGAAAACAAAAGCCAUGGCCGGCUGUGAGAGCAGUGUUGGGAAUCAUUAUCUACUUAAAUGCUCCGGCCUCGCUCUCUUUGUUGCUUUACUCAAAGCAUGAGCUGUGUUUCAUAUCCCGCUGAGAAUAAUGAGAACAGUCUCGGGACCCGUUGUGGUUAUUUUGACAAAUUGAGCCUGCAGUCGUUUUUCCUUUUACUCCCACAUAUAUAUUGCAAUCUAAAUCACGACUUUACUGUAACAGAGAUGAUUUGGACCUUUGGUUCUGGGCUUUCCUGGGGCUGAAUUAUAAAACCGAGCGUUGUAACCGCAUAUCCUGGGAGUGAAGUAAGUGGUCACUGACUCCCAGCAAAUCUAUUAGCGCAGGAAUGAUGGUGGUGCUGAAAAAUCUGACAAAACAAUUGGUUAAUUUUACAAAUGAUAAUGAUUUCUUUAAAGUCAGAUGGCCCCUCCGGGCAACCAAAAUAUAGGCCUCGGUUAAACGUCACGUCACAAGAGUUCAUGAGUCUCUGAUGCCUUUGGUCAACAAGACGGACGCCUGCAUUUUUUAGUGCAACGCUAACAUCUCAGGUUACUCUGCAGCCCAAGCCGAGCAGCGGCCUGAGACCACCCCUCAAUUAAUCUUACCCUUGUAGCGGCUUAUAAUUUGCCAUUACAAAAGCCAUUAAACCUGGGGGCCUGAUCCAGAGCUCCUGGGACUGGUUUGGAGGAGGGGACGGGGAUCGGACAGGCCUCCAGUUGGCCCCUUGGACCCUGGACGAGCUCCUUUCCAGAAACAGACAGGUACUUAAAAACAGGGUGAAAAGAUCACCUUAAAGAAAACAAGGAUGAUUAAUGGGGAAAAAUGAGGGCCCUUUAGGUCGCUUUCAUCUGGGUCUGAUUCUGGUCUUCAGUGAGCCAUUAACCUAAAGGACAACUGUCCACCGCCAACGUGAGAAAUGAAGCCCCCCCCCCCCAACUCACGCCAGUUUGGACAAAUGUUUGAGGUGCUGCGAGAAAGUUCGAGAGGCUGGGAUGUCUGAGAGUAGAUGUGGUUUAGUUUUCUCCAAAAUCAAAGAAACUAUCAGUGAUUUAGUGAGACGCUGAUAACAUUUACGAGGAUGUAUGUUACUGAUUCGCUUUCUGAACUCCAGGACAGUCUCUCAUACAAAAAUGGAAUUCAGUUAAUGCUUGCUAACUGCAGUUUUAGAGUACGGCAAUAAAUAUCAACAUCGAGCAAUCCAGCUCAACUCAAGUAUUAAAGCAAAGGGGAAGUUAAGGAGUCUGAACUUAUUUGAUAUUACGACUAAGUCCACACUGAAUUUCUGUCACCAGGGACUACCUCAAGUCAUGUUGAAUUUGUUCAAAAGAAAAUUAGAGUUAAUCACCUGGGACAAGAUUUAGGAAGCUAACAUAACUAAGCCAGAAAUGAAGGUUCGUCUUCCAGUACAGAUGUGGUUAAAGUUCAAAAUGAAGUUAGUUUUCUAUUUUUCUAGAGCCUUUUUGUUCCUUUCAGCACACUGUUGUCAUAAAAUAAAAAUAUAACACUUUUGAGUUUGAGCCGCCGCUUACAAGCUAAGCUAAGCAAAGCGUACAGGUAGGUGGCGCUAUUUUAGAGGGUAGGCAUGCUGAAAAAUGUCAAGAAGUGAUUGGGAACAAUAGUCUCCUCUUUACAGGACUUGUAGCAACUAGUUUGAAACUCCGGAAAUGUGCAAAUGCUGCGAGAUUAACGAGUAAUCAAAAUGAUCUCAAAAUAACAGCAUUCAUGACAUUUUCAUCAUGCACUCUCUCCUGCACAUUUCUUAUGUUUCAGUGUUAUCCUGUAUUUACAUCAGAGUAGAUUCACACACACACACCCUCAGAAAACAGAUGGAUGGUGGUGUUGCAGAGUCAUUUCUCAGGAAAGUUAGUUUACGUCAGCACAAGCAGCAAAAUCAGAGAAAAAAACAAGUGCUUACCGUUCUGAAUCAUUUGAGUGCAUCAGUAAGAGCAGGAAAAAAAAAAAACUUUUACCGUAACCAAGAACAGAUUUGGGUUUUGCAAGCACACCUACGCCAAAGACAAAUUGCAUGUCUGCGUCUUUCCUAAAGGUAUGUCUCUUUGGCUUCUUCAAAGCUUCUUGUUCUCAGCUCAACAGUUUGUACUCCUCAUGUGUUAACUCAGAUAAAUGGAAACUCCUUUAGAUUCGACUUGAUAGGCAGUCUGACUCUGAUUACAUCCAGCUACUGCUUCCAGGUAUGGUCAUGUGUCUGCAGACAUCACUGUGACUCCAGUUUGGGUAGCAUGAGGUUUUUGUUUUCCCAAGUGCAAAAGCAGCUGGACUAAGUUAUAAAAGUAGGAUUCAAACUGUGUGGACUCAAAUACAGGAUUUAACAAAUAAGUCCAAUUCUGUUACUGUGGAUUUCUUAUCAAAGCCUGACUUAAAGAUAGGUUUGCUUUGUCGGCUACAUUUUGCCAUUUAGGCAAGGGACAUCCCUUCCUGUGCACUUCUGAUUUAGACGUUAGCAGCUACGCGGUCAUGCAGCCUCCAAAGGUGGGUAUAAAUAAUACAGCGCUGGAUGGACGACCGGAGCACCGGUACGGUUCGUGGCAAGUCCAAAACCCACACCUGGCCCCGGAGUGAAAUCAAAUCUAUCUUGAACUCUGUCUCUCUCCUCAUUUUGCCGUGGCAGUUUUCCGUGAGCGGAGUUCUGGGUCAGGAGUCAGGAGGAGUGAUUUGAGUCCAGGUCACACACACGGACAGUUUCACACAAUAAUGUGUUUCAAAGAUGUUGCGUCACCGAAGCAAAAGGAAACAUUCAAGUCUGGUUUAUUUAAAGAGAGUAAAAGAGCAUCAUGGCUCCGAUCUCCAUUUGAAUGUAAAUUAGAUUAUCUCAGUCGUGCUAAUCCACCAGUUUGCAUGUACUGCAUCAUGCGAGUCAUUCACAGUAACAAAGGCUGGACUUUUCACCAAUAAUGCGCCGUAAUCACCGGCCAUUAAACCACUUUCUAUAGAUUAACACCCACUAAAUCCUCUGCAAGUCAUUGUGUUUUUCUAAAAGGAUCAAUAAACCAAUUCUUCUCGUUUAUGUUUUUCUUGUCCACAGCAAUCAGUUCACUGCUGAUUAAAUCACAGCAAAUUAUCUCCCUGGGAUUUAUCUCGCCUAAAUUGAGUUUCUUUCACCCUUGUGGCCACGGGAGAGCGGGCAACGCCUGCUGGGAGAGAGAAAUAAUCAUUCAUUAACCUCUGACCUGGAAGGAGUGUCAAUUGAGUCGCCCGACUGUGUUUUUCUCUCCCCGCACUCAGCCCCCCUUGAGCGCCCAGCCACGGCAAAUUGACAAUUUACACGCCACGGCCCAAACUUUAUUAACCUGUGCGUGGUUUGAUGCAGUCCUGUGAUCAGCUGGGAGCAAAGAUUGUGAAUAACAUGAGGAACCUUUGUAGUCUGAUUCAUGAUGUGGACACCAAUGAUAAAGCAGAUAGCAUCUGAGUGAAGGAAACGCAUGCAAACACAUCUGAAGCCUGAUUUAUGAGCGCUUAAGAGCUUCUUAGACUGUCUUUUUCAACAUCACAUAUCCUUCGACCUGUUGUGCAGUUUUCAGCCUCAGCAGGGUUUGACGUGUUCAUAUGGUCACAGCAGGAGUGAUAAGUUACAGUGGAGCUUUUUUUUUUUCUGUGCUCCACAUGGACGUCCUCAUGUGCAGGCAUGCAUCUGAUUUUUAUAAGCGUUUCCUGCUUCAACAAUGUUCCAACAAAUCAUUUCCAAUCCAUUUGGUUUCAGUAAGUUGUGAAAUGAUUAGCCAAAGUUGUGCAACACGGGUUUACUCCUGAUGGAAACAAGGCAACUUCUGUCUCCAUUCCUGAUAAAACUAACAAAGGUAGACCACUAAAGAUGCAAACAAUACAAAUAACCGCCAAGUUUAAGAGCAUUCGUGAGAUCUUGAAUGAGAAAUAAGAAUAAUCUGGGCUGUCGACGGAUCAACACUUUUAAUCUUGCAAGUUUAAAAUGUCAUUAUUUUGCUUUUCAACGAUAUAUCAACAAUGUCAAACACUCUUUUCUAUCAACUGGCUUUUAGACGUUACUUUCAAAUAAAUGCAGCAAUGCUACACCAGUAUGAGUCUCUUACCUCUUAUUUUAACUGUUCAUUAUUAAUGUAUUUACCAAUGAUGACUAUGCCUUUCGUUAAAAAUAUGCAGGAGCGCAUGUGCGAAAUGUCAAAACAUAGUCAAUGUCCGGCAUUAUUAAGUUAUUCCUUGAUCUGUUUGGUUUCCCACUGACAUCUAAUGGUCCCUUGGUUAGUUUGGCUGCUGUCUCGGUUUCAUACUGGUCCUGUUUGAAUGAAACUAUUGUUCCCCCCGACUGUAAAGCCUGUUUGGUGGUUCGAUGGCUUUGAUGGUGUUUUUUUGGUUUUGUUGCUCAGAUUCAUUUGACAUGGUUUCCUGUAAACCAAGAAGAAGGGCGUGGACAUCGGCAAUGUGACAAGGAUAGACAUCGCACCGCUGACCAGUGUUUCGGUUGAGUAUUGCAGAGUGACACAGACACUCCUACACAGAAGUACGUAGUGCUCAUGACAGCGCCGGCGUUUACUGACUCAGACACAUAAACCCAAGCCACUGGUUGAAUUCCCGACUCGGACUUCGGACAUUCUGACUACCAAGUACAACUGGAACACAGCAUUAAAGUGUGAUAGUGAUAUUUUAAUUCUAUUGUCUGAGAAACAAAUGCUUCUUUUUUGGACCGUUGUGUCAUGAUCAGUGUUGGUGACAGACCUAGACUGUAUAUAGAAUGGACGCUGCUUGCGAUGUUGACAUGCUGUUACUGUAAGACUGGUUUGUCCUCUUUUUUUCUGUACAGCUCUGUUUCAUCCCAGCGUCAUCACAGCAACUCUCUGCGACUCUCCCGAAUGUGUACAACGCUACUGCGCAAUGUUGGUUUCAGGAAAUGAAGAAAAAACGCAGAAUUACCGAGAGCUUUUUGCCUUCAAAUCCCUAUACUGGCAGAAGGUGGAGUUUCUUUUCAAACAAGAAGAGUCUGAAUAUAUUUAAACCGAUAUUUACAAUUUAUAACCGAUAUAAACCAUUUUAAACUUACAAAGGAAUUAGUGGAAACAAUUAAAAAGUAAAAGAAAGGAGUUCAGAAAUAGAGAGGAACAACAGUUUUUAGACUGAGUAGUUGGACCGUAAAUACAUAUUUAAACAUCAGUAUAACAGAAGGAAGAGUCGUCAACAGCAUCUACAUGUUUCCUUCAGAGAAAGAAAUAAACGUGUUUAAUGUGCAGAAAGCAUCAAGUGUUCUCUGAACCAGGAUUAACAGCAACCACAGAGCUUUUCCACGGCCGGUAAAGGAAUUCCCUCUGACUUUAAGAGCAUUACCGCCUGUAUUGAUUUUGCCGUCAGUGUUUUUUUUUUUCCUGGUGAUAUGAGUCAGAGCGUUUUUCUGUCCCUCGCACGGUAGCAAUAAACACAACCGAGCUGCCCCGAGAUCUUUCCCUCUGACAUUAUUAGGAGCUACAGCGGUGUGAGACUCAACAUGGUGUAAAAACAAACCAAAUGUCAGCACCACUGCCCGAGCGCCUCUGCUAUAGCCAACAGCAAAUGUAAUGAAAGCUUGGAAGGGUCUGUUAGUACGCCGCUGACCUUUUAUACAUUUAUUGUUCUCUUGACAUUUCUCCAGGAUGGAGGAGGUGAAAAACAGAAUGAGGUGCUAAAGCAGAAAUCAGGAUUUUCAACUUCCAUCCCUCCCCCCCGUUAGAGAAUGACUUUCAUCGAUCCAAACUCCUGGACUUUACCGAGGGUCGAUGCUGUGAUUGCCAACACUAACUAACUCUCUGCUGCUCUCUCUGUGGACAUGAUACACUUUUAUUAGAUUUCAUGUCACACAAGUGGAGCAGGGAAGUGAAGGGGGAAGAAUUUCUAAGGCUCAGUUCUUUAUUUGACUUUGGAGGAAAAUCUGUCUGAAGCCUUGUUUCCAUUUAAUUUGAUAAUUUGUAAGAGAAAUAGAGUUUCUAUCAGUGAUUUUGGAGCAAAUAAUAAAUGCUGAAUGAGUCGUGAAACUUCUUACAGUGUAGACCAAACUUCAUCCAAUAACUG
rnacentral:lncRNA from 1 species